rnacentral:snoRNA from 1 species
AGCUGCCUGUAUACCUACAACUGCUCCAAGUCUUUGGGGCAAUGACUGAGGAGAUAAACCAUGCAGA